UUAUCCGGAUUUAUAGGGUUUAAAGGGAGCGUAGGCGGACGUUUAAGUCAGUUGUGAAAGUUUGCGGCUCAACCGUAAAAUUGCAGUUGAUACUGGGUGUCUUGAGUACAGUAGAGGCAGGCGGAAUUCGUGGUGUAGCGGUGAAAUGCUAAGAUAUCACGAAGAACUCCGAUAGCGAAGGCAGCUAGCUGGACUGUAACUGACGCUGAUGCUCGAAAGUGUGGGUAUCAAACAGGAUUAGAUACCCUGGUAGUCCACACAGUAAACGAUGAAUACUCGCUGUUUGCGAUAUACAGUAAGCGGCCAAGCGAAAGCGUUAAGUAUUCCACCUGGGGAGUACGCCGGCAACGGUGAAACUCAAAGGAAUUGACGGGGGCCCGCACAAGCGGAGGAACAUGUGGUUUAAUUC
rnacentral:rRNA from 1 species